UGUUCCCUGCGGUGUUCGUUUAGGCCCAUAUUCUUUGAACCAAUCUUUGAGUAAUGGUUUCGAGCCAAUGCGACACUGUUGCGCGCUUCCCUUGCGGAAGUGCCUGAUGUGUCCGGCAAGAGACCACCUUGGACCCUACGGUUCAAGAUAAUGGCCUGACGGCAUCUGCGGGGAGCUU
rnacentral:other from 1 species